rnacentral:RNase_P_RNA from 1 species
UUUAGGCAAACGCUGCAUAUUAAUUAUGUAGAGGAAAGUCCAUGCUCACAAAAGCUGAGAUGCUUUUAGUGUUUGUGCUUAGGAAAAAAAUAACCUAAGGUAAGAUUAAUUCUUAACGGCGCGUCUUUAACCUAAACUUUAUAGCAUGGUUAAAGAUGCAUAAAGUGCCAUAGAGACGAGUCUUAUUAGAAAUAAUAGGAGUGGAACGGGUAAACCCCACAAGUGAGAAACCCAAAUUUUGGUAGGGGAAUCUAAAUAGGAAAAUGAACCGAUUUUAGAAUCAUUAUUGAUAGAUAAAUGUUUGCCACCGAAUUUUCGGUACAGAACAUGGCUUAUU